UGGACACGUGUUGAGAUGUUGAGACGAGAGAAGAGAGGUGUCGUCGAUUUCUUUUCAUCUCUCCGUUCUUUUUCUCUCUGUCUCUCUCGAAACCUCUUGGUGAGCUCACGCGAUUCGAUGUCUCUCUGUGGCUCCUCGACGACGACAGCGAUGGACAGCUCUCCUGGUUCGUCGACGGCAUGAACGCUGAUUCUCUCCCUCUCUGUGGGUCUCGUCGAUGGCAACGACCGCUAUCUCUCUGUGGCUCUCCGCAAAUCUAAAGAUGGAGUGAUCAAAUCGCUGUCGUCAUGUUAUGUGGAAAGAGACGAGAGAUGUGAGGAAGGUUCAUCGAACAAAGGACUUCAAUUGCUUGCAGCGAGUCUUAUUGAGCUUCUUAAUAGCCAAGAAGACAGUGUCUUCCGUUUAGUAGAUGGCAGUCUCGAACCAAGUUCAUCACAGUUUCCUCUCUUCGGCAGUCAAGCAGUUUCCUCUCCGUUUAGUGAUGCUUCCAGCUUUGGUGUAGAGAAGGGAACAGAGCGUAAAGAAAGAAGAGCCUGAACGCAUUCAGAUGAUGUUGUGCUUAUCUCCGCCCGGUUAAACACGAGCAAAGAUCCUAUAGUAGGGAAUGAGCAAUGUUCGGGUGCUUUCUGGCAGAGGAUUGCGGACUUGUAUGCGGCAAGUCCGAACAUUGCACGCGGUGAGGAGAGACAUAAAAACCAGUGCAAGCACCAUUGGCAGAAGAUCAAUGAUCAAGUUUCCAAGUUCAGUGGGGCGUAUGAAGCUGCAACAAGAGAGAAGACAAGCGGCCAAAAUGAGGUUGAAGUUAUCAAACAUGCUCACGCGAUCUUCCUCAACAACCACAAAAAGAAGUUUACCCUUGAACACGCGUGGAGGGAGCUUCGCUAUGACCAGAAAUGGUGUAGCAUUGAAGGCGGCAACAAAAGGAAGAAGUUUGGUGAUGGUUCUCAUUCAGCAAGCUCAUCUGUUGAUGUAGAUGAUGACAGAAUGAAGCGGCCCCCAGUUGUUAAGGCAGCAAAAGCAGCAGCCCGUGGGAAGAAAAAAGCAGAUGGCCGAGGGAAAAGAGGUGUCUGAUUUUCUGGGAGUUGAAGAAAGAGGACUUGGUUCGCAAGGAGAGAGUAGUGAAGUUGAGGUUACUUGACAAACUCUAUGGAAAGAAAGAACCACUAGAUGAUGAGGAAAGAGAAAUGAAGAAGAAGCUCAUGCUUGGGCUCUAAGCAUAAACAAACCUGAAUGAAUAAAUGAAACACGAGAUUUCUUGCGUUUGGACGUGUGGCAGCACUGUAGAAGAUGACUUUCCAGGCUGGCGAUGACGUGGCUUCAUGGGAGAGAAGCAACAUUUUUUUAUAUAUAUAGAUUAUGUUUAAAAUGUUAUCUUUUAUUCUGUUUAUGAAAUAAAACUUUUUUAAUUUUAAUAAAAAUUGUUAAAAAGAUUUAAGCAACCAAAAAUAAGAAACUAGCAAUAGAGGAGCAAAAUAAUGAAAUUGCUUACCCAAAUCUCUUACCACAAUUUACUACUAAAAUAUUACUUAGCAACCCAUAAUGAGUUGCAAGGAUAAAGAUGCUCUUAGCUUCUUUUCUC